GACGAACGCUGGCGGCGUGCUUAACACAUGCAAGUCGAACGGAAAGGCCCUGCUUUUGUGGGGUGCUCGAGUGGCGAACGGGUGAGUAACACGUGAGUAACCUGUCCUUGACUUUGGGAUAACUUCAGGAAACUGGGGCUAAUACCGGAUAGGAGCUCCUGCUGCAUGGUGGGGGUUGGAAAGUUUCGGCGGUUGGGGAUGGACUCGCGGCUUAUCAGCUUGUUGGUGGGGUAGUGGCUUACCAAGGCUUUGACGGGUAGCCGGCCUGAGAGGGUGACCGGCCACAUUGGGACUGAGGUACGGCCCAGACUCCUACGGGAGGCAGCAGUGGGGAGUAUUGCACAAUGGGCGGAAGCCUGAUGCAACGACGCCGCGUGCGGGAUGACGGCCUUCGGGUUAUGAACCGCUUUCGCCUGUGACGAAGCGUGAGUGACGGUAAUGGGUAAAGAAGCACCGGCUAACUACGUG
rnacentral:rRNA from 1 species